rnacentral:rRNA from 1 species
GAUGAACGCUGGCGGCGUGCUUAACACAUGCAAGUCGAACGAAGCACUUAAGAUUGAUUCUUCGGAUGACGUCUUUUGUGACUUAGUGGCGGACGGGUGAGUAACGCGUGGGUAACCUGCCUCACACAGGGGGAUAACAGUUAGAAAUGACUGCCAAUACCGCAUAACCCGAUAGGAUCGCAUGAUCCAGACGGAAAAGAUUUAUCGGUGUGAGAUGGACCCGCGUCUGAUUAGCUAGUUGGUGAGGUAACGGCCCACCAAGGCGACGAUCAGUAGCCGGCCUGAGAGGGUGAACGGCCACAUUGGGACUGAGACACGGCCCAAACUCCUACGGGAGGCAGCAGUGGGGAAUAUUGCACAAUGGGGGAAACCCUGAUGCAGCGACGCCGCGUGAGUGAAGAAGUAUUUCGGUAUGUAAAGCUCUAUCAGCAGGGAAGAAAAUGACGGUACCUGACUAAGAAGCCCCGGCUAACUACGUG